rnacentral:piRNA from 1 species
CAUUGAAUGAAUUAGGAAGCCAC